rnacentral:lncRNA from 1 species
UCAAUCCAUUAACCUUAGAAUUAAUCAACUAUUAUUUAUUUAACAGGGUCUCAAAUCAUUCCAAACUUCAAACCUGAUCACAGCGUUGUUGGAAAUCCUUAAGACUACUCCUCCCAAGCUCCAAACUGGUUUCCAGGAUAAAACUGAAACUUAAGAGCCAGAGUUCUGUAUGGGACCUUGCUUCUGCCAAACAGACAUACUACAGGAGACUUGGAGCUAAGUGGUGGAGAGAUUGGCUUGUGGCGGUGAAGGUGUGGUUCUUCUGGGGAAGCUGAGGCAGGUGGCAGAGCAUCAGGUCCCAAGAGGCCUGGGUACUGACUGCAGGUACCACCAGGGUGCUGCUCCCCACAGCACCGCUGCGGCGCGGCUGGUCAUUUCUGCUGAUCUAUUCCGGAUGAGGCAGGCUCCAAGACCAGAACAAACAACAAAUUCUAGUCACCAUUUUCUGAAAAAGACACUUGAAGUGAUUUGCUUGAAUGGAGCCCAAAAUCAUGUGAGUGGAGCAAAAUGCAUAAUAUUUCAAGGCACGAAGAGAGAGCGGAAUAGCAUGAAUCUUGCUGGGUGGUGUUUUUAAUUUUUCCUACAACUGAGCGACUGAACUGAACUGAAUCCCCCAUAUUCUCGUGACACUUGUAAGGUUCUGUUUACCCCUGAUUUUUAAAUAAAGCAGUCUUUUCCCAUAGUUCCUAAGAGGGUUUCAAGCAAAACGAAGUACAAGUAUAUAAUGUGCAUGUGUACGACUCAC